GACGAACGCUGGCGGCGUGCCUAAUACAUGCAAGUCGAGCGGAGUGGUGGGGGAGCUUGCUCCCGAACCACUUAGCGGCGGACGGGUGAGUAACACGUAGGCAACCUGCCCUUCAGACUGGGAUAACUACCGGAAACGGUAGCUAAUACCGGAUAAUUCCUUUCCUCGCCUGAGGGGAGGAUGAAAGACGGAGCAAUCUGUUACUGAGGGAUGGGCCUGCGGCGCAUUAGCUAGUUGGUGGGGUAACGGCUCACCAAGGCGACGAUGCGUAGCCGACCUGAGAGGGUGAACUGCCACACUGGGACUGAGACACGGCCCAGACUCCUACGGGAGGCGGCAGUAGGGAAUCUUCCGCAAUGGGCGAAAGCCUGACGGAGCAACGCCGCGUGAGUGAUGAAGGUUUUCGGAUCGUAAAGCUCUGUUGCCAGGGAAGAACGUUCUCUAGAGUAACUGCUAGAGAAGUGACGGUACCUGAGAAGAAAGCCCCGGCUAACUACGUGCCAGCCGCCGCAGUAACAC
rnacentral:rRNA from 1 species